CUCCCUCCGCCCGCCCCCCUGGCAUCUCGGCCGCUGGGCGCGGCGGCGCGCAUGCGCAGCUCUCGGGGCUGGCCCCGGCGCACCUUUUCUCCCUCCUGCCACUUCGUGAGAGCUCCGCCGCCCUUGUAACCGCUGACUCCCGCUCCACCCACGCCGCCCCUACUCCGCCCACUCCCGAGCGCCCAGGACCCUGGGACUUGCCCGAUGUAUCUGAAGCCUUGGUGACUGGUUCUCUGGAAGGCCUUGGGCCUGGCAAGGCAAUCCCAGUUCCUCUGCUCCCCCUUAACUCUUACCCUUCAGGAACCUACCAAGAGAAGGGCGUCAUCCCUUGACAUAUCACAAGAAGAGGGCGUUGGCUCUCAGUCAGCCUGCCUUCUUCAGCUGCGGGCACUACAGCUUAGCAGUCAUGGCAGGCAGGGCUUAGCACCCACACUGGCCUUGUUGAAAGACAAGGCUUCUGUCAUCCUGGUUUCCCGGCCCCGGAUAGUUCCUCACUAACUUUUUCAAUACGUGUGGGCAGAAAUCAACAGGACCCAUUUUUUUUUAAUUUAAAAGCUUUAGUAAAAAGUUCUGUAUACUUUGACAGUUCUGAAAACUUCACAGAUUUAACUGAAACAGCAGCAGAGCUAUCUGGUUUCUAUAAGGUGAGCUUGAUGGCCUGGUACAAGCUCCCUAUUCACUGCAUUUCUUUGCCUCCCAAGUUUCCAGGGGUGUACCCCUAGUCAAUAAUAGUUCUUAACACACGUACUUAUGGAGGGGCAGUGGCCGUGGCUCCCUUCCAACUCAUUAACUAAUAUAACCCCGUCCUGCUGCACCAGACUUGGGGCCAGAGCUUGGUCAUGACCUUCUGGGUCCUCAUUCUUGUAGUGUUGUGACCUUUGUUCAAUCACUUCAUCUUUGAGGCUUUGUGCAAAGAGGGGAUUAUAUGACUCUUACAACCUUCCAGAUCUGAUACCUAGGAUUCUACUCUAGAAAGCUGACUGUGUUUGUUAAUACCUUGUAAUUUCAUUCUUUUCCUAAGAGUUACUAUCCAAUUUUCAUCUCUAAGCCCUUCCUAUAGGAAACUGCCCCUUCUACAGAGUGGAUAAAGCUGUCCUGGUCUCUCCUUUUGUAUUCACUUUUCCCCCCUCAUAUCUCUAAGUAAUAGUGUUUAGAGACAGCCCAGAGAGCUGGACUCUUGGCUUGUCUGCCACAGGGCUUGUCUGUAGACGCACACAUGCGCUCAUGUGUAUAUGUGUAUUUCCAGUCUUAAAGGAAUGUGGUCCUUGGGCACUUUCAUUCUGUGCCCCCUCAGCUCCCACCACCCCCACUUAAAUUCCAGUGAAAAGUUAAAAUGAAUGCCAAGGUGCUCUAGAAGAAAAAAAGAGGAUUCACUAAAAGACCAGAUCUGUGAGUAGAGCUGUUUUGCUUUGGGGAUAGAGAUGAGGGAGGCUACUGAGACAGCCAGUGUCACUUCCGUCUCAAGCUUGGUUUUGGCUGUAACCUGGACCCAACACUUGGUUCACAGCUCCCUACAGCUGUGGUCUCUGUACAUCACCUCUUCUAUUUGAAACAUCUCAGAGUUUGGAGUAUGAUCACUCUGGUGUCCUUGUCAUCAAAAUGCAUUUUAUAAUUUUUUCAAAACAACAGGUCUGUGACCAUUUGUACGAGUCUUUCUUCUCCAGUAGUUCAUUUACUCCUUCCCUCAACCCUGGGAGGUAGGAAGGGCAGGAAAUGUUCUUCCUGCUAUUUUUUAACAGCGAAUUAAAACCAAGGUCCAGAUUUUAAGGGUAACAUGGCCAGAAGUAAAAUCUGGGUCCCCAGGGUCCAAGUCCAGCACUUCUCUGUGACACGAUACUGCAGCCCUUUGCUGGACACCAUACAAAGCAAAUUGAACAGAUGUGGUCUCUGCUCUCUGGAAGUUUGGACUCAAAUGGACAGCCAUGAUUCUGGCAAACAUAAAGGGACAAAAGUGAUUCAAUCAACUCACCUAUGCCAAUAAAUAAAUGGGUUAAAUAGAUAAGGAAAGUCAUAUUCACCUGGCCUACUAAUUUUUUUUUUUAAUUCCAAUUGAGUAGAAAGGACAGUGUUAGUGAGGCUAAGGUUUUAGUCCAGUCCCAUCUGCCUACUUGCUUUGCAAAUGGAAAACUAUUUGUAGCUGCGCUGCAUGCCUCUUCCCCUCCUUGUCUUCAAUGUUCUAUCAACGUUCCUGAAGCUUCUACCAAGUGUCUGUCGAGCAAGAGUCUCUGAAAUAAUGCUUCAAAGGGGCGCAUACAGAAAUGUAGGAGUCCACCAGAUGGCUAACUAGAUGGCUAAACCACUUCGAUGGGAGAUCUCAAGUCCCGCCUGACAGCACCAGACUGCACAGUAUGCUGCAUGGAGAGUGGCCUGGAGAUGACCAGGAAGUGACCAUCUGCUGGAAGCCCUAACUGGUGGCAGGGCUGAGCCUCAACCAGCAGACAAGAGAUCUCAGGGAAGAAAGCUUAAGACAGAACAUCACCUACUCUCUAAUAUUAUCCAGCACUCAGAUGGACCCCCAGCUGAGAGUGGGAACAGACAGGGGCAACUUCCAUCCCUCGUUUCAUUUCGCCAACAGAGAGGAAGAGGUGAGCGCUCCAUUGAGAAACAUGGUGCUGUUCAGAGGGGCUGUGUGUUCCUCCUGUGCCAGAGAAUCCCCUGGUGCCUGGGGACCUCCUUCCCUAUCGUGUUGGGUGUUGAUGGUCCUGUGGAAAUGGACCCCCUAUGAAGCUAGGUUCUGCUCUGUGUGGCGUUGACCAUGAAUGUCUUUUUCCUGACUGGAUUGUGUUCUCAGCACGUACUGGGCACCAAGAUGUUCCCAAUUUAUUGAGUACUUUCCACUGUCCUGUUUCACCUCUUAUCCCACGCAGUCCUUCCAACUGCUCUUUGAGUAGAUAUCUCCAUUUCACAGAUGAGGAAACCGAGAGAGAGAGAAAUGAAGUAGGAAACGAUGUAAGGUCACAUUAAGUCUCACGUGGCAGGCUCGGGAUUGAACCCAGGUAGUCAGACUCCUAAGCCUGCUCUUUUAACCAUAAUGCUAUACUGCCCAGAACUCUAAUUCCGUCACCCCACUCUCCUGCUCAGAAUUCUUGAGGUGGGGAGGGUAUAGCUCAGUGGUAGUGUGCAUGCCUGGCAUGCAUGAGGUCCUGGAUUCAAUCCCCAGUACCUCCAUUAAAAAAAAAAAAAAAAAGAAUUCUUGAGUGGCUUAUUCUGUGAUAAACAGGUUAAUGGAGCCCUAAAGAUGUCCACAUCCUAAACCCUGGAACCUGUGAAUAUGUUACCUUACCUUGGUAAAAGGGACUUUGCAGAUGGGAUAAAGUUAAGGAUCUUGAAAUUCGGACCUUAGCCUGGAUUAUCCGAUGGGUCCAAUCUAACCACAAAGGUACUUCAAGGAGAGGCUGGAGCAUUAGAGUCCGACAAGGAGAUGUGACCAUGGAAGCAGAGGGCAGAAUGGUAUGGCUGCUGGCUUUGAAGAUGGGAGAAGAACAUGAGCCAAGAAAUGUGGGCAGUUUCUAGAAACUGGAGCGGGUGUAGAACUGACUCUCCCCAAGAGCCUCCAGGAGGAACACAUCCUACUGAUGCCCUGAUGUUGGCCCAGUGCAACUUCUGACCUCCAGAACUGUCAGUAAACCUGUGUUGUCUGAAGCCACUAGGUUUGUGGUUAUUUGUUACAGCAGCAGCCAGAAACUAAUACAGCUCCCCUUGCUUAAAGGGAAAUCUGAACUGCUUUACAAGGCAAUCAAGGGCCCCAUGUUCUCUUCCCCUUGGCUGACUGCCUAGCUGUUAGCUCAUGGCCACCCCACUCCCACCCCCACCACGCUCUACACACUGAACUUCGUCAGGAUCCUCAGCAGGACAUGUCCUUUCUUACGUCAAUGCCUUCGCUUGUGCUGUCUCUUCCACCUGGAACACCCUCUUCUCACUUGUUUGCCUGGCAAACUCCUCAUCCUUUAUGUCUCAGCUAAAACAAUACCUCCUCUGUGAAGCUUUUCCUCCUUCCCCCAAAGGAACGUAGGGCUCCUUUCCUGCAUUUCAUGCCUCUGCCUCAUUUCAUGUGCACUCCCAUCAAAGCCGUAUUUUAAGGACCCAUCUGUUCCCUUCCUGAAUUAUAAGCUAUUUGAGGGCACAGGACCUCUCUUUCCACCUUUAUCCUCCCUUAGCACCUAGCAGGGUCCCCAGCACCUAGCAAGGUGCCCAGCACAUCAAAUAAAGUUCUCCAGAGACUAGAGCUCCUUUCGUGACCUGUGCCCUGGACCAGUGAUGCAGCUUCCCCAGCCCCAUUUCUCCAUCGAUAACAAGCACUGGGGGCAUCAUCCCUUCCCUUCUCUACUGAGAGAUGAAGACAAAGGAAAGCAGACAUGGAAGUGUUUCAAAUUCAAAAAGAAAAGGCGCUAAUCAAAGUUGUAAUAUUCCAUUUGUACCCGCGGUGUACAAUGCUUCCUCUCCAAGUCUCAAUUUCUUCAGCUGGGAAAUGGGUCUAGAGGCAAGCUGCACCAAAGACGGGAACUGUGGCCGCUUCCCCUCCCUACUGUAUCCCCAUCUACACUGCUCUUUACUCUCGGGUGAAUUCUCUGAUGUUGGUUGGUGAAGACCCUGAGGGAAGUUCUUCCACAUUCUUUGGAUUCAUGGUUCUCUCUAAUGUACACGCUGAUAUUGGGUAUCGUCUUGAGCAGAGGGUUCCCCACAGUCACCUUCUUUGUAUCUGAGCUCUGUGACACUGAGUCACAUGUGCCUUCCAAGCCUCCAGACUCACCUGAGGGUUCUCCCGCGGACGACAGAUACAAGUUUCCCUCCGGCAGGAAUUCUCUGACGUUGUGUAUGGUGGUUGUAUAAAGAUGGUGUAUAAAGGAAGGCUUAUUCACA